AGCUUUGCGCAGUGGCAGUAUCGUAGCCAAUGAGGUUUAUCCGAGGCGCGAUUAUUGCUAAGAAUAUGAAUCAUCCCAGAGACUAAAGAGAUUUUAAAGAGAAGAUGUGGAAGUGUUAGGCUGUGGAGGACA
rnacentral:snRNA from 1 species